rnacentral:sRNA from 1 species
GAUGGUGAUGAUGGUGAUGCUUAACAGAUCUGUAUAAGUAUUGAGGCGAGUCCGAGUGAGGAAACUUUUCCCGCCCGAUGGGUUAUCGAACAUGUCUUGGGACGCUGAGGAGUCUCGGAGCUCGUGGCAGGACAUGGUUCAGCCAGCUGUAUCCCGGUGAUAGGCUCCUGGAACCUUGGUUAUCUCAUGGAUGGCUCUUUCUAGCCGGGUUCUGGAAACAAGGGCAUGGCUUAUUUCCACCAAUCGCUGAUGGUACUAAGCAGCGCCACCGCGGCUUACGGGAUACACAUUGCUCACGGCCAUAUAUUGGAAUA